GACGAACGCUGGCGGCGUGCUUAACACAUGCAAGUCGAACGGAAAGGCCCUGCUUUUGUGGGGUGCUCGAGUGGCGAACGGGUGAGUAACACGUGAGUAACCUGCCCUUGACUUUGGGAUAACUUCAGGAAACUGGGGCUAAUACCGGAUAGGAGCUCCUGCUGCAUGGUGGGGGUUGGAAAGUUUCGGCGGUUGGGGAUGGACUCGCGGCUUGUUAGCUUGUUGGUGGGGUAGUGGCUUACCAAGGCUUUGACGGGUAGCCGGCCUGAGAGGGUGACCGGCCACAUUGGGACUAGAAUACGGCCCAGACUCCUACGGGGGGCAGCAGUGGGGAAUAUUGCACAAUGGGCGGAAGCCUGAUGCAGCAACGCCGCGUGCGGGAUGACGGCCUUCGGGUUGUAUACCGCUUUCGCCUGUGACGAAGCGUGAGUGACGGUAAUGGGUAAAGAAGCACCGGCUAACUACGUG
rnacentral:rRNA from 1 species